AUAUCAAUAAGCGGAGGAAAAGAAACCAACAGGGAUUGCCCUAGUAACGGCGAGUGAAGCGGCAACAGCUCAAAUUUGAAAGCUAGCCUUCGGGUUCGCAUUGUAAUUUGUAGAGGAUGCUUUGGGUGAAACGCCAGUCUAAGUUCCUUGGAACAGGACGUCAUAGAGGGUGAGAAUCCCGUAUGUGACUGGAAAUGUUAACCUAUGUAAAGCUCCUUCGACGAGUCGAGUUGUUUGGGAAUGCAGCUCUAAAUGGGAGGUAAAUUUCUUCUAAAGCUAAAUAUUGGCGAGAGACCGAUAGCGCACAAGUAGAGUGAUCGAAAGAUGAAAAGCACUUUGGAAAGAGAGUUAAAAAGCACGUGAAAUUGUUGAAAGGGAAGCGCUUGCAAUCAGACUUGUUUAAACUGUUCGGCCGGUCUUCUGACCGGUUUACUCAGUUUGGACAGGCCAGCAUCAGUUUCGGCGGCCGGAUAAAGGCAUUGGGAAUGUGGCCUCCACUUCGGUGGAGGUGUUAUAGCCCAGUGUGUAAUACGGCCAGCCGGGACUGAGGUCCGCGCUUCGGCUAGGAUGCUGGCGUAAUGGUUGUAAGCGACCCGUCUUGAAACACGGACCAAGGAGUCUAACAUCUAUGCGAGUGUUCGGGUGUCAAACCCCUGCGCGUAAUGAAAGUGAACGGAGGUGGGAACCGCAAGGUGCACCAUCGACCGAUCCUGAUGUCUUCGGAUGGAUUUGAGUAAGAGCAUAGCUGUUGGGACCCGAAAGAUGGUGAACUAUGCCUGAAUAGGGUGAAGCCAGAGGAAACUCUGGUGGAGGCUCGCAGCGGUUCUGACGUGCAAAUCGAUCGUCAAAUUUGGGUAUAGGGGCGAAAGACUAAUC
rnacentral:rRNA from 1 species